CAAAGCAACAACACGCAGACUAAGUGGAGAAACCGGUGGAAAGCCCACACGAUCCAUGACAAGGAGUGACGUGACGGCGUGCGAAGCUAGUAGGUGGUGGUCAGGAAAAGACGAAGAUGGUGGUGGUGGUGGUCAGGAAAAGACGAAGAAGGAAACCCCCCGUUAGCAGACCACCAUGUCAUGCAGCACGUCAUGUCAUUCGCUGUCCGAAGUCCGAAAAUUUUGCCGCCCGACGGGAUAAUUCUUCUAGUUGUCCAUUACUGGACGAUGAUCUUGCCCACCAUGCCGGCACCCUGGUGCGGCUCGCAGUAGUAGCCGUACUCGCCCGGCGUGUCCAGCUUCACGCUGUACUUCUCCCCGGGGGCGUUCAGGAGGUCGUCGCGCGAGAUGGCAUCAGCGUUCACACCGGCCUGCGGGCAGGGAGAUGGUGAGCGGAAAUGAGAUCACUCAGAUUAGUCA
rnacentral:lncRNA from 1 species